UACAGAGGGUGCAAGCGUUAAUCGGAAUUACUGGGCGUAAAGGGUGCGUAGGUGGUUUGAUAAGUUAUCUGUGAAAUUCCUGGGCUUAACCUGGGCUGGUCAGAUAAGACUGUUAGACUCGAGUAUGGGAGAGGGUAGUGGAAUUUCCGGUGUAGCGGUGAAAUGCGUAGAGAUCGGAAGGAACACCAGUGGCGAAGGCGGCUACCUGGCCCAAUACUGACGCUGAGAUGCGAAAGCGUGGGGAGCAAACAGG
rnacentral:rRNA from 1 species